rnacentral:tRNA from 2 species
GGGGAUGUAGCUCAGCGGGAGAGCAUCGCGUUCGCAACGCGGGGGUCGGGGGUUCGAAUCCCCUCAUCUCCACCA